rnacentral:lncRNA from 1 species
CAUAGCAAGAUAGUGUCUCAAAAGUUUAAGUUACAGAGUUCUCUCUGUUCCUCACUCAUCACCAUCUUGGCCAUAGGGAGGACCAUGGAACUGAGCCCUGAAAUGGAAAUGCAAUACAUUGAAGUUUCCAAGUCUCUGGGCUUCUCUGAUGACCACAUCACCAUCACUGCCCCCAUGGCUGAUGGCCACCUGGCAGAAAGGCACAAGGUGCCAUCUUACUGCAUCAAAAGCUACCAUGCACGUGAACAAUCUAGAAUAUCCUUGUUACAGUGCAAUGAUCCCAAGCCAUCACCUCCAAAGCCACGCCGCCGCCGAUGAGUGCC